CCUCCGCCGCGCCCCAUGUCGCCGCCGGUGAGCUCGGGGGCGCCGGUGCAGGAGCGGCGCCUCGGGGUGCUCCUCUCCCACCUCCGCCCGUGCGCGCCGCCGGCCGCGCGGCGGGGCAACCACCACCACCACCACCACGACCUGCGGGUGCGGGAGGCGGAGGGAACGGGCGGCCUCGCCGCGUCUCCCUGCGCCGCCGACGGGAGCGGGGAGACCUCGGGAGGCCAGCGCUGCGUGUUCUGCGAGAUCGUGAAGGGCAACAAGCCAGCCUACAAGCUCUACGAGGACGAUGUGUGCUUGUGCAUCCUGGACACCAAACCACUGAGCACUGGGCAUUCACUGAUCAUUCCAAAACGUCACUUUCCAUCACUACAGGCAACACCGCCAUCUGUAAUAGCAGCUAUAUGUUGUAAACUCCCACUUAUUUCCAGUGCAAUCGUGAAGGCUACUCAAUGUGAUGCAUUCAAUGUGCUUGUCAACAAUGGAAAGGUAGCAGGGCAGGUUAUUUUUCACACUCAUGUUCACCUCAUUCCCCGUAGAAAAGGCGAUAACUUGUGGUCUUCAGAGACUUAUGAAAGGAACUCUAUCAAGCACAACCAGGAAACCAAAGAUCUUGUUAGCGGCAUCAAGGAACUACUCUUCCCACCUCAGGAUGACAGCGCUGAAGGGUCAACGAUACCGAAGGAACUCUAAGAAGUAGAUAACCAAGUCAACAGGCUUAUUUUCUGCUUCUCUCAGUCAUCUUGAAGAGCACUGCUGCGAGAUGAGUUGAUGUUCUUCCUAUCCAACAAAUUCCAUUGGCCAUUGAAGAAUGAAGAAUGAGUCCACAGUUCCAAGCCAAGAGAGAGAGGGAGAGAAAAUCUCUUUCUUGAUUUUGUAGGUGUAGUCUUUGUUCCUCCUGUUGUCGCUCUGGAGAGUGGAGAGCUCUUUGAGAGGUGAUUUUUCUUCACUCAUGGAGUGGGUACUGGCGUACUGCAACAAGAUGGAUGCACCUGUCGACCCUGUUGCAAGCAUUACUGCAGCACGAAAUUUGCCUCUUGGAGUGUGAAAUCACUUCUAUCGUUUACCCCUACAGCUUCGGUAAGUUCGAUACCUGCAGAUAGUUGUCAUUUGUCAACAAACCAACAAAGGCUUACAUAAAAAAAAAAUAACAAACCAACAAAGGCUAACCAUACAAUCAUGUCAGCAGCGGUAAAACGGUUGUACAAUUUUUUUACAAUCUAGCACCUUUUUUAGAAAAAAAAAGUGAUUGUAAAUAGACUCCGUAACUUUUCCUAAAUACUAAACACAAGACAUAAUGGAUCUGAAUCCUCUGCAUUACGACACCGGAAGGACAGUAAAGUAAGGCCGUAUUUAGUUGUAAAAUUUUUCUUUAAACUUUUAAUUUUUCCAUCACAUCAAAACUUUCUACACACAUAAAUUUCCAACUUUUCCAUCACAUCGUUCCAAUUUCAACCAAACCUCCAAUUUUGGCGUGAACUAAACACACCCUAAGUUAGAUAUAGUGAUUCAAAGCAUGAAAUGAACAGUGAUAAAGGUGGGUACUCUGCAUUCCUAAUGGGGUGUGUUGAUCACUUACAUUAGGGUUGGCUCGUACUAGUGGACACUUUAUAUCUUCUGUUUACGUUUGAAAAACAAAGUGAUUCCCUAUAACAUUAUCAUAUCACUUGUUCAUUUUAGAUCCAAAAGUGUUAAUAGCUGACAAAUGCACCAUACUAUUUACAUUUACCUCAAUCAAAAAAAAACAUCCAAUAGUCUAUCGCCAUAAGUGAAUAAUACGGUAUGAGAUGAUUUGGCACCAUCAUGGAUACCCUUUUAAGACUUAAAAAUACACUAGGGAUGACAUAAUUAAUAUAUUGAGAAAAAUAUAAUACAAUAGUGUAGCACUAUGAGCCUUAGGGCGCAUUAAAACAUCGGAAUAGAUGAGGUAAUGGGUGGCACGGACAUCCGUAUUAACUAUUAUAAACUUAAAAAUAAUUUAUUUUAUUUGUUAGAAAAACAUAUAUAAAAUAUUUUUUUCAUUUAGUAGUUCGAAAAAUAUGGCGCUAAAAGCAAAAACGAACAGAGCUUUAGUGCCCUGCGUGAGAGCUUAAUAAUGCUCAAAAGACUUGCUUUUUUUUUUUUAAAGAUAACGCAGCCUUGUGUGAGGCUCAACAAAAACUUGCUUGAUUUUUUUAGAUAACGCAGAUUUGUCAUGGAAGAGGAUUUAAAGUGCUGGACAUAGUUGAUAUGCUGGAGUUAUAUACUUGAUAGUGCAGUGGCAAAAAAUGUGUGUUUUCAACCUCAAAAUUCCAUGUUCAAUCCUUAACACGCACAUAUUUUCUACUUAAAAAUAACUUACUGCAUUAACUUCGCCAUCAUAGAACUUCUAUUACGUCUACUUGUUCAAUACUAUAUUUAGAUUCUACUAUUCUAAAAAUUUCUUCUUAAAAUAACUCACUCCAAUUUCGCCACCAUAGAACUCCUCUUCUAAAAAAAAUUCUUCUUAAAAAUAACUUACUCCAUUAAGUUCACCACCAUAGUACUCCACUGUUACGCUUACUUGUUCAAGAGUAUAUUUGGACUCUACUCUUCUAAAAGGAACGUCCGCUCUCAUAAUUUCCUCUUCAUAUCCACUAUCGCAAUUCCCUCUUUCAUCUACCAAAACCGUCUCCCUCCAAAUCUCUCUGUUUUUAAUAUGCUGUACAUAAUUGUUAUGGCUGAUCUUUUAGCAUUGGUUAUGAUGCAAAGUAAAUGCAGAUGGUAUUUAGGGGGUGUUUAGAUAUAGGGAUGUAAAGUUUUUGUGUGUCACAUCGGGUAUUAUAUAGGGUGUCGUACUGAGUAUUCGGGCACUAAUAAAAAAAACUAAUUAUAGAAUCCGUUAGUAAACCGCGAGAAGAAUUUAUUAAGCCUAAUUAAUCCAUCAUUAGUAAAUGUUUAUUGUAGCACCACAUUGUCAAAUCAUGGAGCAAUUAGGAUUAAAAGAUUUGUCUCGCAAAUUAGUCGCAAUCUGUGCAAUUAGUUAUUUUUUAAGCCUUAUAAUUACUAUUUCAUGCAGGUAUUCAAAUGUUCGAUGUGAUGGAGUAUAAAAUUUAUGUGUGGGAACUAAACAGGGCCUUACAUUGUAAUUUAUUUUCUCUCGUGACUGAUCUCUGAAUUUGCUUAUGACCAGUGCAAGAUGGCCGCGUUAAUAGUCAA